rnacentral:rRNA from 1 species
AUUGAACGCUGGCGGAAUGCUUUACACAUGCAAGUCGAACGGCAGCACGGGGCAACCUGGUGGCGAGUGGCGAACGGGUGAGUAAUACAUCGGAACGUGCCCAGUCGUGGGGGAUAACGUAGCGAAAGUUACGCUAAUACCGCAUACGAUCUAUGGAUGAAAGCGGGGGAUCGCAAGACCUCGCGCGAUUGGAGCGGCCGAUGUCAGAUUAGGUAGUUGGUGGGGUAAAGGCCUACCAAGCCGACGAUCUGUAGCUGGUCUGAGAGGACGACCAGCCACACUGGGACUGAGACACGGCCCAGACUCCUACGGGAGGCAGCAGUGGGGAAUUUUGGACAAUGGGCGCAAGCCUGAUCCAGCCAUUCCGCGUGCAGGAUGAAGGCCUUCGGGUUGUAAACUGCUUUUGUACGGAACGAAAGGCUCUGGUUAAUACCCGGGGCUCAUGACGGUACCGUAAGAAUAAGCACCGGCUAACUACGUGCCAGCAGCCGCGGUAAAAGUACUAC